AUUGAACGCUGGCGGCAGGCCUAACACAUGCAAGUCGGACGGUAGCACAGAGGAGCUUGCUCCUCGGGUGACGAGUGGCGGACGGGUGAGUAAUGUCUGGGGAUCUGCCCGAUAGAGGGGGAUAACCACUGGAAACGGUGGCUAAUACCGCAUAACGUCGCAAGACCAAAGAGGGGGACCUUCGGGCCUCUCACUAUCGGAUGAACCCAGAUGGGAUUAGCUAGUAGGCGGGGUAACGGCCCACCUAGGCGACGAUCCCUAGCUGGUCUGAGAGGAUGAUCAGUCACACUGGAACUGAGACACGGUCCAGACUCCUACGGGAGGCAGCAGUGGGGAAUAUUGGACAAUGGGCGAAAGCCUGAUCCAGCCAUGCCGCGUGUGUGAAGAAGGUCUUCGGAUUGUAAAGCACUUUAAGUUGGGAGGAAGGGCGUUUGGCUACUAUCCAGGCGUUUUGACGUUACCAACAGAAUAAGCACCGGCUAACUUCGUGCCAGCCGCCGCGGUAA
rnacentral:rRNA from 1 species